AUCUACUCCUGAAAUCAUUGUUGCACUACAUGCUAACUAGCUUGGAUGCAAAUUAAAAAAUAAAUUAAUUAAAAAAAAAAGAAUCUACCAUCCUCCAAGGUGAUGAAGACAGACAUGUUAUGUUUUUAUUCUAGAAUAUUUAUUAGUUUUCUUUUUCAUUUAGAUUUAAAAGGCAUCUGAAUAAAUCUGAAUACAUUUCUGUGUAUUAUAUGAGGUAAGGAUUUGAGAUUCACCUUUUCUCCAUACAGAGAGCCAAUCAAACAUAAGUUAGAUUGUGAAUUUGGCCUGGUCCAAAUACUACCUCCUUUCUGAAAUAUUUUCACAGAAUCCUAGUUGGAAAUAACUAAGUAUUUUUAAUUAACUUGAUAAAUAUUGUUUUGCACCUCUAGUAUUUGUUGGUGUAGCGAGGUUGCUAAGGGGAGGCCUCUCUGAGAGCGGACAUUUGAGCUCAGACCUGAAUGAAAUAAUGCCAGUCAUGAGCAAAGUUGGGGAAGAAAAUUCCAGGAAGAGGCACAAGAUGGCCAGUGCAGCCGAAGUAUAGUGUUCCAGAGGGUGUGAAGCACAAGAGAAUUCUUUCAAACGUGAAAUCAAAGGAAAGACAACCAGACUGGUAUCACCACAAGACAAUAAAGCCAUGCCCACAAAGUUCUGAGGGAAGCUGUUUUCCAGCCUGGAAUUCUUUCUGUCAGGAGUAAAGGCAGAAUGAAGACAUUUCAGACUUACAAGAACUUAGAAAUUUUACCUGUGAAGCAACUUUCUUUCCUUAGGGUUUUUACAUGGCGGUCUACUCCAAUGGGGUAAGGACAAGAAGAGGAAGACACGGGCCCACCCAGGAGGACAGUGAAGCGAAAAGCCACCAUGAAAAUAGUGUGUCUUUUCCAGACAAGUGGUUCAGAAUGGAGCCGGUUUGGACAAGGUUUGGGAGUAUUUUUAGCUUUUACUCGUGCUCUUUCCAAUCCAUUUUCCACAAUGUUGUUCAAGUAAACUUGGUAAAAUUUUACAUUACCUCCCCCUUCAGUUUAAAAGCCUUCAUGGCCCCCCAUAAGUUUCAGAAUAAAAGCCAUCUUUCAGUGUGAAAUAAAAAUCCCUUUGUGGUUGACCUCUGUCGUUUCUUACCGCUCUGGAUGGCCACUCAUACCCACUGCUCCCAUCACCGAUUUUCUUCUUCUUCCUUUUUAAUGUUUCAAGCUUCGGUUUAAAUUUUAGUUCGCUAACAUACAGUGUAAUAUUAGUUUCAGAAGUAGAAUUUAGUGACUCAUCACUUAACAUAUGACACCCAGUGCUCAUCCCAAGUGCCCUCCUUAAUGCCUAUCACCCAUUUAGCCCAUGCCCCCGCCCACCUCCCCUCCAGCAACCCUCAGUUUGUUCUCUAUAGUUCAGAAUCUGUUUUAUGGUUUCCCCUAUGUUCACCCAUUUUGUUUCUUAAAUUCCACAUUUUUUAAAGUUUCUACCUGCAUUUAAUACUAAGCUAGUAAUUCAAGGUUUUUUCCAUAUUUUCAUGUACAUCAUGACCAAACCGAGAAUAAUACAAUAUUUUAUUUGUCAAAAUUGUCUUCUUCCUAAUAUAAUUUAUUUAAAGUAAAUUUAAAAGAAUGUCAUUUUUUAUAUUGAGUGAGGCCAAAUAUUACCAAAGAUUUUAUUAAACAUAAAUUUUACCAUGUAAUAUUUGAUAAAAUAAAGGUUUUUUCUCAACAUAAUAAUUAAUUUUAUUUUUUUAAAUUUACAUCCAAAUUAGUUAGCAUCUAAUGCAACAAUGAUUUCAGGAGUAGAUGCCUUAAUGCCCCUUACCCAUUGAGCCCAUCCCCCCUCCCACAACCCCUCCAGUAACCCUCUGUUUGUUCUCCAUAUUUAUGAGUCUCUUAUGCUUUGUCCCCCUCCCUGUUUUUAUAUUAUUUUUGUUUCCUUUCCCUUGUAUUCAUCUGUUUUGUCUCUUAAAGUCCUCAUAUGAGUGAAGUCAUAUGAUAUUUGUCUUUCUCUGACUAAUUUCACCCAGCAUAAUACCCUCCAGUUCCAUCCACGUAGUUGCAAAUGUCAAGAUUUCAUUCUUUUUGAUUGCCGAGUAAUACUCCACUGUGUGUGUAUAUGUAUGUAUAUACAUAUAUAUACCACAUCUUCUUUAUCCAUCCAUCCAUCGAUGGACAUUUGGGCUCUUUCCAUACUGUGGCUAUUGUCGAUAGUGCUGCUAUAAACAUGGGGGUGCAUGUGUCCCUUCGAAACAGCACACCUGUAUCCCGUGGAUAAAUGCCUAGUAGUGCAAUUGCUGGGUCGUAGGGUAGUUCUAUUUUUAAUUUUUUGAGGAACCUCCAUACUGUUUUCCAGAGUGGCUGCACCAGCUUGCAUUCCCAUUAAAUUCCACAUUUAAGAGUGAAAUCAUAUGGUAUUUGUCUUUUGCUCACUGACUUAUUCUGCUUAGCAUAAUACACUCUAACUCCAUCCAUGUUGUUACAAAUGGCAAAAUUUCAUUCUUUUGGUGGCUGAGUAAUAUUCCACUGUGUGUGUGUGUGUGUGUGUGUGUGUGUGUGUGUAAUAUACAACAUCUUCUUUAUCCAUUCAUCCGUUGAUGGACCCUUGGGCUCUUUCCAUAACUCGACUAUCGUUGAUAAUGCUGCACACGGGUGCACACACCUGUUGAAAUCAGGAUUUUUGUAUCCUUUGGGUAAAUACCUAGUAGUACAACUGCUGGAUCAUAAGGUAGUUCUAUCUUUAACUUUUUGAGGAGCCCCCAUACUGUUUUCCAGAGUGGCUGCACCAGUUUGCAUUCCCCCCAACAGUGUAAGAGGCUUCCCCUUUCUCUGCAUCCUCACCAACAUCUGUUGUUUCCUGUGUUGUUAAUUUUAGCCACAAUCUCUGAUAUUUUUACAGACUUCUUAAAGCUAUCUGUUAUAGCAAAUCCUUUGUAGCUACUGCUCUCUCUCUGCAAGGAAACUCAUCUUUCCCUCCUUUCCCUGGUAGAUUCUUCCUUGUUUUUCAAACUUCAUUUUUUUGGGGAAACUAUGUGUUCUCCUACCCACCACUGGCUGCAGUGCCCUUGGUUUUAAACCCCGUGAUUUCUCUAUGCUUCUCACCUCUGGUACCGAUCUGUCUCUUUUUCAUUUUUUACUUAUUUAUCUGUUCUCCUCACUAGCUUAUAAUCUGCUGGAGAGUAGCGACUCCAUUUUAAUCAUUGUUGACGUUUCCAUAAUGGCCGCUCCGUGGUCAGACUUAGGUAAAAUCAUUUGCUAGCAUCAUUUGCUAUGGGAACUCUGAGCCCCAGUUUCCUCACUUGCAAAAUGAUAUGGUAUUUUCAUCUGCAGCACUUGGCACACAGAAGGUGCUCAGUAAGUUGUGUGGAAUGAAUCCAUGCAGAGUUCCCAGGGGAGGAAUAUCUCAGCAGGGGAGUAAGGAUGACUCACUUCAGUCAAUCUUGAUCCCUCUCCCCUCUCUCCCCUCUGAAAGAGGAGUGCUUGGCUUCCUCUCUAGGACCAUUAUGCCUUGAAAGUGGUGAGGAAAAUCUGAAAAAUGCAGCCUCUUUUCUUUUUCAUGUUUAUCCAUGUGUUGACCUAAGGAAUUCAGGAUAUCUCAGAGGGCAAAAAUUUCCCAAAGAUGCCAUUGUCUGACCAUUCUUACAAAGCUGUCUAAACAUAGUGUUACUUUAGGACCCAAAUUUUCUUAGAUGUGGAUGUGUUAGUUAUAGACUGGAGGAAGCAAAGGAAUCAUGUACCCAUUCUGCAGAUGGAAAACCUCGCAAUCUUCCCUAAACUCCUCAGAGCCCAAGAACUCAUAUAACCUGGCAAGAAUCUACCCAGAAGAGCCCUCCUGCCCAGUGUCUCCUCUCCCCCAGUUAAUUUUUUUGAUGUUUAUUUAUUUUUGAAAGAGAGAGAGAGAGCACAAGUGGGGAAGGAAAGAUUGAGAGAGAGAGAGAGAGAGAGAGAGAGACGCAGAAUCCAAAGCAGGCUCCAGGCUCUGAGCUGUCAGUACAGAGCCUGACGCGGAGCUUGAACUCAUGAACCAUGAGAUCCUGCCGUGAGCCAAAGCCUGAUGCCAUCGAGUUAAAUAUAUAUUCCCCCAGUUAAAUAUAUAUUCUCUUUUUGUUCUUACUUUGGAGGCAGCAUCCCCAUGGAGCUGCCCUACUGUGAAUGAGUUUCUAGAACAAAGAAAGACAGUUGAUCUUUCUCAAUGUGUCUAUAAGACCUGGAGCAGAGUCACGGAAUGGACUGUGCACUCCAUGAAGGUUCAUAGCAGCAUUAUUCGUAAAAGCCCCAACGUGAAAACAGCCCAAACAUCCAUCAACCAAUAAAUGGGUACAUAAAAUGUGGUGUAUCCCUACAUGGAAUAUUAGCAGAGAAAAGAAUGAAGUACAGACGCGUGCUACAACUUGGGUGAAUCUUGACAUCAUACUAAGGGAAAGAAGCCAGACGCAAAAGACCACAUAAUAUGUGAUUCCAUUUAUAUGACAUGUCCAGGGUAGGCCAAUUUAUAGAGACAAAAAGUAGGUUAGCUGUUGCUUGGGGCUGGGGGUGGGGACUGGGAAGCAAUGGGGAGUGGCCACUGAUGGGGUGGGAUUUCUUUCUGGGGUGAUGAAAACGUGGUAAAAUUGAUUGCACUGUUGGUCACACAACUCUGUGUAUAUACCAAAAGCCACUGAACUGUACACGAAAGUGCACAUUGAAAAAUGUGCAAAUUGUGUUUCAGUAAAGCUGUUAGGAAGAAAGAGAUCUUGGAAAGAGUUGGGGCGGGGAGAAAAAAAGAGACUGGAUUGUGCUCUCUCGUGUAUCGACUCCUGCAAGCAUUCAUUUUGCAGGAGAAAGAAUCAAGAUCCUAACAGUGGGUCUGAGACAGAUUUCUGGCCAUCAGGUCUUCCUCUCCCCCCCAGUAGAGAAGAAUUAGUGAUCAGAGCAGGCUCUAGCUGCAUAGCCUUUAAGGUUAACUUUUGCAAACUAUUGCUAACUUUUCCUUUUCCAUUUCCUUUCUUUCGGUCUUCUUCUCCUUCCCAGGGACCCAGUCGUCCUACAGGUAGAGCAGGUGCACUACAACUUGGAUCACAAACUGGGGCAACUGAUCUGUCUGGAAAGUGUGUUGAAGACAACACUGAUUCAGGGUGCAGUGCCCUGAGUUCGAGGUCUGCCUUCAGCGUUUCUCUGAAAUAAACAAACAUUAAAAAGAAUGAAAGAAAGAGCUCAGAAUGCAGGGGUUUCUGCCUUUUCUUCUCCAUGAGGUAUUGAACGUGAGGCUGGCCAAGGGAUGUCAGCUUGGCAGGAGGCACAGCACCAACCGCUACGUAUCUGCCAUCAAAUUCUGCUUAACAUGUAAAACUUCCUUUUCUCACAAGUGACUAUCUAUGCCACUCUCUGUCAAGGUGAACACUGGGACUGUGUUUCUCUAAGUAAUGUAGGUCCAACUUACUUUAAGAGCAAGGAGGCGUAGGGCAAGGCCACACUCAAGCCAUUGCCGAAGAAAGCAAGAGUGAAUGCUGGGAUUGUUCCAGAACUUGCCUUGAUGACUGAAGAGCUGUGGUUAGGGCAGGAACAGCUGGACUCACCCAAUGAUAUGGGACAAACCAGGAAGUAGGGGGUUAACUGUCAGGGCUUUUUGGACCCUGAAGACACUGCUGCACUAUAACCCUUGUGACUGUGCUCUAAUCAUUGCUACCUUGUUUCACGUUACUUUGAAUCUUUGGAUUCCUUCAACCAUGCCACCGAAAAACUUCUAGUAGCUGAAAAAGCUGAGCACCACUGGAUUACCUACUUAUUCCCAAAAGUACCCCACUGAUUAAGAUUGCCAGACAAAAUACAGGACACCCAGUUAAAUUUGAAUUUCAUAUAAAACAACAGUGCUUUUUUUGAGUAUAAGUGGGGUAGCCCAUGAAAUAUGUGUUUGUCUGAACUUCCAAUUUAAUUGGGAGUUGUCCAUUCAUUCAUUCAUUCAUUUGCUAAAUCUGGCCACCCCUACCUCUGAUUCCCUUUGCCAAGUGAUAGCAGCGCCCACUUCAGAUACUGUUUUGUAACGUGUGCGCCAUCUAGUGGUCACACGAACAAGGAGGAAACCAAGAAAUCACUUUAAAACAGCGGCGUGAGAAAACUGCAAAGACACAACUCUGCUUUCCUUUUUCAAAUGUUUUAGAUUUUGCUUUACCUACCUCUUUGGAUGUGGUGUCUGUGAUCAAAUUAACAGCCCAGAGCGUCCAGCAGAUACCUGAAAUCCCUUGUAAGUCAUGCCGUGUUCAAAGGGCAACACUCACCCCACCUGCCCGAGGCCUUGGGCUCCCCCAUUAACACAUAAACGUGAAAGUGCAGCCUUGUCCUUGAUCUACUGUGGUUCCCAGUUCCUAGUAAUUGUUUUACAAUAAGCACGUGGCUUUCAGCAGCAGCUAGUGUAUUACAUGUCAGGUGCAAUUUUACUAAACCUCAC
rnacentral:lncRNA from 1 species